rnacentral:tRNA from 1 species
GCCCGUGUAGCUCAGACGGUAGAGCGCUUGCCUUGUAAGCAAGGUGUCCGGAGUUCAACUCUUCGCUAGGGCACCA